AUCCGACCUCAAAUCGGGGGGACUACCCGCUGAACUUAA
rnacentral:rRNA from 1 species